rnacentral:rRNA from 1 species
AACGAACGCUGGCGGCAGGCCUAACACAUGCAAGUCGAGCGAGGACUUCGGUUCUAGCGGCGGACGGGUGAGUAACGCGUGGGAAUGUGCCCUUCUCUACGGAAUAGCCCUGGGAAACUGGGAGUAAUACCGUAUACGCCCUAUCGGGGAAAGAUUUAUCGGAGAAGGAUCAGCCCGCGUUGGAUUAGGUAGUUGGUGGGGUAAUGGCCUACCAAGCCGACGAUCCAUAGCUGGUUUGAGAGGAUGAUCAGCCACACUGGGACUGAGACACGGCCCAGACUCCUACGGGAGGCAGCAGUGGGGAAUCUUAGACAAUGGGGGCAACCCUGAUCGAGCCAUGCCGCGUGAGUGAUGAAGGCCUUAGGGUUGUAAAGCUCUUUCAGCUGGGAAGAUAAUGACGGUACCAGCAGAAGAAGCCCCGGCUAACUCCGUG